rnacentral:pre_miRNA from 1 species
GUGACAGAAGAGAGUGAGCACACAUGGUUUUCUUGCAUAUCGAUACUUGAUGCUUUUAGCUCUGUGUGCUCACCCUCUAUCUGUCGC